rnacentral:rRNA from 1 species
UGGGGAAUAUUGCACAAUGGGGGAAACCCUGAUGCAGCGACGCCGCGUGAACGAAGAAGGUAUUCGUAUCGUAAAGUUCUGUCCUAUGGGAAGAUAAUGACAGUACCAUAGAAGAAAGCUCCGGCUAAAUACGUGCCAGCAGCCGCGGUAAUACGUAUGGAGCGAGCGUUGUCCGGAAUUAUUGGGCGUAAAGGGUACGCAGGCGGUUUAAUAAGUCGAAUGUUAAAGAUCGGGGCUCAACCCCGCAAAGCAUUGGAAACUGAUAAACUUGAGUAGUGGAGAGGAAAGUGGAAUUCCUAGUGUAGUGGUGAAAUACGUAGAUAUUAGGAGGAAUACCAGUAGCGAAGGCGACUUUCUGGACACAAACUGACGCUGAGGUACGAAAGCGUGGGGAACAAACAGG